rnacentral:rRNA from 1 species
AUUGAACGCUGGCGGCAGGCCCAACACAUGCAAGUCGAGCGGAUGAGGAAAGCUUGCUUUUCGAUUCAGCGGCGGACGGGUGAGUAAUGCCUAGGAAUCUGCCUGUUAGUGGGGGAUAACUCGGGGAAACUCGGGCUAAUACCGCAUACGUCCUACGGGAGAAAGUGGGGGAUCUUCGGACCUCACGCUAACAGAUGAGCCUAGGUCGGAUUAGCUAGUAGGUGAGGUAAUGGCUCACCUAGGCGACGAUCCGUAACUGGUCUGAGAGGAUGAUCAGUCACACUGGAACUGAGACACGGUCCAGACUCCUACGGGAGGCAGCAGUGGGGAAUAUUGGACAAUGGGCGAAAGCCUGAUCCAGCCAUGCCGCGUGUGUGAAGAAGGUCUUCGGAUUGUAAAGCACUUUAAGUUGGGGGGAAGGGUAUUCACCUAAUACGUGGGUACUUUGACGUUACCAACAGGAUAAGCACCGGCUAACUCUGUGCCAGCAGCCGCGGUAAUAC